rnacentral:rRNA from 1 species
CAGCCGCCGCGGUAAUACAGAGGGUGCGAGCGUUAAUCGGAUUUACUGGGCGUAAAGCGUGCGUAGGCGGCUUCUUAAGUCGGAUGUGAAAUCCCUGAGCUUAACUUAUGAAUUGCAUUCGAUACUGGGAAGCUAGAGUAUGGGAGAGGAUGGUAGAAUUCCAGGUGUAGCGGUGAAAUGCGUAGAGAUCUGGAGGAAUACCGAUGGCGAAGGCAGCCAUCUGGCCUAAUACUGACGCUGAGGUACGAAAGCAUGGGGAGCAAACAGGAUUAGAGACCCCCGUAGUCCCUGUCUCUUAUAC